rnacentral:rRNA from 1 species
CCUACGGGAGGCAGCAGUGGGGAAUCUUGGACAAUGGGGGCAACCCUGAUCCAGCCAUGCCGCGUGUGUGAAGAAGGCCUUCGGGUUGUAAAGCACUUUCAGUAGGGAGGAAGGCUUAUCCUUAAUACGGAUGAGUACUUGACGUUACCUACAGAAGAAGCACCGGCUAAUUUCGUGCCAGCAGCCGCGGUAAUACGAAAGGUGCGAGCGUUAAUCGGAAUUACUGGGCGUAAAGCGCGCGUAGGCGGUUUGCUAAGUCAGAUGUGAAAGCCCCGGGCUCAACCUGGGAACUGCAUUUGAAACUGGCAGGCUAGAAUGCAGUAGAGGGAGGUGGAAUUUCCGGUGUAGCGGUGAAAUGCGUAGAGAUCGGAAGGAACACCAGUGGCGAAGGCGGCCUCCUGGACUGACAUUGACGCUGAGGUGCGAAAGCGUGGGGAGCA